rnacentral:rRNA from 1 species
GACGAACGCUGGCGGCGUGCCUAAUACAUGCAAGUUGAGCGCUGAAGGUUGGUACUUGUACCAACUGGAUGAGCAGCGAACGGGUGAGUAACGCGUGGGGAAUCUGCCUUUGAGCGGGGGACAACAUUUGGAAACGAAUGCUGAUACCGCAUAAAAACUUUAAACACAAGUUUUAAGUUUGAAAGAUGCAAUUGCAUCACUCAAAGAUGAUCCCGCGUUGUAUUAGCUAGUUGGUGAGGUAAAGGCUCACCAAGGCGAUGAUACAUAGCCGACCUGGGAGGGUGAUCGGCCACAUUGGGACUGAGACACGGCCCAAACUCCUACGGGAGGCAGCAGUAGGGAAUCUUCGGCAAUGGACGAAAGUCUGACCGAGCAACGCCGCGUGAGUGAAGAAGGUUUUCGGAUCGUAAAACUCUGUUGGUAGAGAAGAACGUUGGUGAGAGUGGAAAGCUCAUCAAGUGACGGUAACUACCCAGAAAGGGACGGCUAACUACGUG